UACGUAGGGGGCAAGCGUUGUCCGGAUUUACUGGGCGUAAAGAGCGUGUAGGCGGCCACGCAGGUCCGUUGUGAAAACUGGAGGCUCAACUUCCAGCCGUCGACGGAAACCGUGUGGCUAGAGUCCGGAAGAGGAGAGUGGAAUUCCUGGUGUAGCGGUGAAAUGCGCAGAUAUCAGGAGGAACACCAAUAGCGAAGGCAGCUCGCUGGGACGUUACUGACACUGAGGCGCGAAAGCGUGGGGAGCGAACAGG
rnacentral:rRNA from 1 species